rnacentral:lncRNA from 1 species
AUAUAUAUAUAUAUAUAUAUAUAUAUAUGUAUAUAUAUAAAGGAAGCACUACUUGUGAUUAAAGCCCUGACUCAGAACUCUGCUGUUUGAGUAGGCUCAUUUGGAAGGCCCUGCUGCUGCCCUGCCGAGCUGCACUGCUGGUGGACAGAUGGCUGGUUUCUCACUGUGCCCUCAUUUCAACUCCAUCUCUGGCUGGCUUCUUUUCUGUGUGGCCUUCCACCUGUGCUGACAAUAGAUGGAGGCAGUUCAUUAUGGAUCACCUUACAUGUAACUCUUAGAUUUAGACCUCACUGCACAUUGGAAGGUCCAAAUAGCUCUCACCUUGCAUCAGCAUCACCGGCUGACCUUGAUUCGAUAUGCGUCACCUGUUGGAGGAGCUUCAGCACAUUUUAUUGGUUGAUGCUUCCUCUCUCAUGAUAUUCCAAAUUAAAUUACCAAAGUCUAUAUUUAGGACCUAAUCUAUAAAAAGAUUACCAAGCAGCAUGAUGUGGCUGUAUGCUCAGCAUCCACAGAGCCAGGCUCGAGUCCCGGGGCCGUGGGGAGGAACUAAAUGCAUGUCUCUGAGCAAUUUGUCUGAAGUCCAAGAGCUCAAGACUAUAUUCUGUAAAAUGAGAUUAUUAAGUCAGACACCUCCUAUGGUGACUUCAAGCUGAACAAUUCAUUGGAAUGACAUUUGCGGGGGGAGUAAAUGUGCUUGGCCAACUCUUUAAUUUUAGGUGUCUAAACAUGUAAAAUAUUCCUAACUAUACUUAAGUCCAUGUUAUUUUUUUUAAAGAGAAUGUGCCUUAUCUUUAUCAUUAUUUAGGAUGUUGAGUUUAUGCCACUCAUCUAGCAUUUUUCACAAGAAGUCAGGUAAAAUAAAUAAAGAUGGCUAUGCUUUGAGGUUUCUUAAAAUAUGUUGAGAGGGAGCGGGAUAAUGAACAUGGGCCUGGGUCUUAGAGAAGAGGAGGAUGGUGUCUCCAAGACUCAGUUUCAUAUCUGUAAAUUUGGAUUAAUCGUAAUUCUCCCCACAUUAGGUUUGCACAAGGAACUAGAUAAUUCAAUAUAUCUAAAGCAUUUAGAACAGUACAUGGUUUCUAGUAUGUCCUGUGUGUUAAGCAUUAAAUAUGCGAAAGGGCCAAUGUCAUAUAAAGCAAGAUAUAUGCAUGAGGACACUGCCAAGAGUUCAUUGAUUUGAUGCUCAUGUCAACUGAAAAAUGUGUGCAUUCUCCUGAUUGUGUUUACCUAAACGUGGUAGCACUGAAACACAGCCUAAGUCAAUGUGCACAGUCGAGGAUGGGCUGUGUGGAAGGAAUAAGUAAUCUUAAAGGAUUUUCAACUGAAAUACAGCUUCAAUCUUUUAAAUUAUAUUCACUUCACUACAUGCACAUAUAAACACACACACAAAUAUAUAUGAACUGAUAUUCUAGAGUUUUAUGAAAUCAAUAUUCUCUAAAUAACUAGUCUUAAGGUUCCAGGUGUGAUGCUAAAUAAUUUUAUAAAUAUAAUAGUAUUUUACCAUAAUAAAAGAUUUUGAAAUUUUCAACAUUAAAAAAUGAAGAAAUGCACAAUGAGUUAGAUGCAAACAUAACAUACAGUGUAUAUAAUUACAUGAUGUCUCAUUUCUUUGUAAAGCUUUUCUUUUUUGUGUGUUAUUUAAAAAAUUACUUAAAAUAUAUAAGAUUUCUUAAUUAUCAGUAUUGAAAGAAAUAUAAGCAUGGGAAUAUUUUUUAAAUUACAUUCCAAAAUAAUUAUUCAAUUGAAAAUGAGGAGGGAUUUAAUUCAUUAUGUUGCAUAUUUUCU